rnacentral:ncRNA from 2 species
AUCUUCCCCUCCGUCGAAGGUAUCCAUCUCUUCAACCCGAUGAAGCGAUGGAUUUAAUAGGGAAGCCGGUGCGGACCUUCCAGGUCCUAUUCCGGCGCUGCCCCGCAGCGGUAUUUGGAAACGAACUCCGUCAUCAGCACUGGCCCGCAAGGCCGGGAAGCGACGGACAGUAGGCCGCCACGCAUCCGCGUGGACCCGUCCAUGAGCCCGAAGACCUGCCUCGGCCGGAAGACCCGC